rnacentral:piRNA from 1 species
GGGACAUAGUAGAGCUGAUUGUUCAAGGA